UGGGGAAUCUUCCGCAAUGGACGAAAGUCUGACGGAGCAACGCCGCGUGUAUGACGAAGGCCUUCGGGUUGUAAAGUACUGUCUUUGGGGGCACAGAACGGUAUCUAUGUAAAUAAUGCAGAUACAUGACGGUACCCAAGGAGGAAGCCCCGGCUAACUACGUGCCAGCAGCCGCGGUAAUACGUAGGGGGCGAGCGUUGUCCGGAAUCAUUGGGCGUAAAGGGCGCGUAGGCGGGUCAUUAAGUCUGGUGUGAAAGGGCAGGGGCUCAACCCCUGGAAGGCACCGGAACUGUUAUCUUGAGGACAGGAGAGGAAAGCGGAAUUCCACGUGUAGCGGUGAAAUGCGUAGAUAUGUGGAGGAACACCAGUGGCGAAGGCGGCUUUCUGGACUGUAACUGACGCUGAGGCGCGAAAGCGUGGGGAGCAAACAGGAUUAGAUACCCUGGUAGUCCACGCCGUAAACGAUGAGUGCUAGGUGUAGAGGGUAUCGACCCCUUCUGUGCCGCAGUUAACACAAUAAGCACUCCGCCUGGGGAGUACGGCCGCAAGGUUGAAACUC
rnacentral:rRNA from 1 species